GCAGUGGUAGUCAAGUGGUUAAGACGUUGCUUUCCCACAGGCGAGUCUUCGCACAUUCAGCACGUCCUGGUGGACACUGUGUAGAAGACGGGGCGCUCUCCCAAGCAAAGAUCGUGGGUUCAAUCCCCACCCACUGCA